rnacentral:rRNA from 1 species
ACGGCGGACGGGUGAGUAACGCGUGGGUAACUACCCCGUACCACACGAUAACAUACCGAAAGGUAAUGCUAAUACGGGAUAAUAUAUUUGAGAGGCAUCUCUUGAAUAUCAAAGGUGAGCCAGUACAGGAUGGACCCGCGUCUGAUUAGCUAGUUGGUAAGGUAACGGCUUACCAAGGCGACGAUCAGUAGCCGACCUGAGAGGGUGAUCGGCCACAUUGGGACUGAGACACGGCCCAA